rnacentral:tRNA from 1 species
AAAUAAGAAGCAAAUUUUGCAUUUAAUUUCGACUUAAAAGUUAGAGUUUAUCCAACUCCUUAUUUA